ensembl:lncRNA
CAUAGAUGGCUAUGACAAGCUGAAGCCAUUUGGAAUCGGAAUAAGUGGCUGUAUAGAUGGAUUUUCCAGGAGCAUGAUAUGGCUUGAGGCAUACAAGACCAACAAUGACUUAUUGCUGGAUGCUUCAUGGAUGCGAAACAGACCAUGUAACUUUUGGCCAAAGCUCUUGAAACCAGCGAAUCGAAAGAUGGUGCUCACUCUGUGAAGUGAAUGUGUCCAAUUCUGGAUACACCUCUUUGACAAACUGAGAGAGGAUGGGCACUUCGCAGACACUCUUCUGGACAAAUCCUUGGUCCAGUUCUGUUUCCUUAACAAAAUCCAGGAGGAGCUUGAUGAGAUUGACUAAGCUUGGAACAAUCACAGAAUACAGCCCGUCCACAACUCACGGUCACCACAUGGCCGACCAUCCAUCAUGUAUGCAGUAUCUCAUCUAUAUGGAGCCACAGACCACCUGCAUCCAGUGCAUCUGGAGAAGGUUCAAGUCUGUUUAGAAGAGUGUGUUUUCAAGGACUUUCCAUGCGAUGAAGACAUUUUUAACACAUGUUGAUCUUAUGUCAGAGCAUGAUUUAAACCAAACGAUGUGUUUGCAGCAGUGGACUUGUACAUAACACUUAGGGAGCUAAUUAGCAGUGAGUUGGAGCCUCAUAACUAAAAAAUGUGUUGCUGAAGACUUAACAUUUGAGAUUUCAAUUC